AGCGAACGCUGGCGGCAGGCCUAACACAUGCAAGUCGAGCGCCGUAGCAAUACGGAGCGGCAGACGGGAUAGUAACACGUGGGAACGUGCCCUUUGGUUCGGAAUAACUCAGGGAAACUUGAGCUAAUACCGGAUAAGCCCUUACGGGGAAAGAUUUAUUGCCAUUGGGGCGGCCCGCGUCGGAUUAGCUAGUUGGUGAGGUAAUGGCUCACCAAGGCGACGAUCCGUAGCUGGUCUGAGAGGAUGACCAGCAUCACUGGGACUGAGACACGGCCCAGACUCCUACGGGAGGCAGCAGUGGGGAAUAUUGGACAAUGGGCGCAAGCCUGAUUCAGCCAUGCCGCGUGGAUGAUGAAGGCCCUAGGGUUGUAAAGUCCUUUUAACGGGGAAGAUAAUGACGGUACCCGUAGAAUAAGCCCCGGCUAACUUCGUGCCAGCCGCCGCCGUAA
rnacentral:rRNA from 1 species